rnacentral:rRNA from 1 species
AGAGUUUGAUCAUGGCUCAGAUUGAACGCUGGCGGCAUGCUUAAUACAUGCAAGUCGAACGGUAACAGAUUCUUCGGAAUGCUGACGAGUGGCGGACGGGUGAGUAAUACAUAGGAAUCUGCCCAUGUAGUGGGGGACAACUUGGGGAAACUCAAGCUAAUACCGCAUAAUUCCUACGGGAUAAAGAGGGCCACUGCUUGCAAGCUCUUGCUACUGGAUGAGCCUAUGUCGGAUUAGUUAGUUGGUAAGGUAAUGGCUUACCAAGACAGCGAUCCGUAGCUGGUUUGAGAGGAUGAUCAGCCACACUGGGACUGAGACACGGCCCAGACUCCUACGGGAGGCAGCAGUAGGGAGUAUUGGACAAUGGGCGCAAGCCUGAUCCAGCAAUGCCGCGUGUGUGAAGAAGGCCUGCGGGUUGUAAAGCACUUUCAAUUGGGAAGAAAGAUUAUGAGUUAAUACCUUAUAAUA